CUACAGCCUCUUUCAUGUCUGAAGGCAUCGUUCCAUACACUGGACUUACUCAGGAGGAUUCAAUCCAUCCCUUCUUCAGUUCACAUUCACUCUUAAACUCCGGCACCGUGUAUUCUUUUGCAUUAAAAGCUAUGAAGCUCGAGAAAUUAUGCUGAGGAUUUUCAAGAUACCAAAUGCAAUGGAGAAGUGGAGAUUAGGUAAACAUUCCAAUUGAGCGUGGAAGUUGUCUUGGCAGGUUCAAUUAAUAACCAAAGAUGUGACCCAAAAGAAUAAGUCUGUUGGACUGCUGGGGCCCUCGUGAAGUCAAAUCCCCUUUCCUUUCAGCAUAUUGCCUUUGC